rnacentral:rRNA from 1 species
CAGCCGCCGCGGUAAUACGUAGGUGGCAAGCGUUGUCCGGAAUUAUUGAGCGUAAAGGGCUCGCAGGCGGUUUCUUAAGUCUGAUGUGAAAGCCCCCGGCUCAACCGGGGAGGGUCAUUGGAAACUGGGAAACUUGAGUGCAGAAGAGGAGAGUGGAAUUCCACGUGUGGCGGUGAAAUGCGUAGAGAUGUGGAGGAACACCAGUGGCGAAGGCGACUCUCCGGUCUGUAACUGACGCUGAGGAGCGAAAGCGUGGGGAGCGAACAGGAUUAGAUACCCCCGUAGUCCCUGUCUCUUAUAC